rnacentral:rRNA from 1 species
AGAGUUUGAUCCUGGCUCAGGACGAACGCUGGCGGCGUGCCUAAUACAUGCAAGUAGAACGCUGAAGGGAGGAGCUUGCUCUUUCCGGAUGAGUUGCGAACGGGUGAGUAACGCGUAGGUAACCUGCCUGGUAGCGGGGGAUAACUAUUGGAAACGAUAGCUAAUACCGCAUAACAGUAGAUAUCGCAUGAUAGCUGCUUGAAAGGUGCAAUUGCACCACUACCAGAUGGACCUGCGUUGUAUUAGCUAGUUGGUGGGGUAACGGCUCACCAAGGCAACGAUACAUAGCCGACCUGAGAGGGUGAUCGGCCACACUGGGACUGAGACACGACCCAGACUCCUACGGGAGGCAGCAGUAGGGAAUCUUCGGCAAUGGACGGAAGUCUGACCGAGCAACGCCGCGUGAGUGAAGAAGGUUUUCGGAUCGUAAAGCUCUGUUGUAAGAGAAGAACGAGUGUGAGAGUGGAAAGUUCACACUGUGACGGUAUCUUACCAGAAAGGGACGGCUAACUACGUGCCAGCAGCCGCGGUAAUACGUAGGUCCCGAGCGUUGUCCGGAUUUAUUGGGCGUAAAGCGAGCGCAGGCGGUUAGAUAAGUCUGAAGUUAAAGGCUGUGGCUUAACCAUAGUACGCUUUGGAAACUGUUUAACUUGAGUGCAAGAGGGGAGAGUGGAAUUCCAUGUGUAGCGGUGAAAUGCGUAGAUAUAUGGAGGAACACCGGCGGCGAAAGCGGCUCUCUGGCUUGUAACUGACGCUGAGGCUCGAAAGCGUGGGGAGCAAACAGGAUUAGAUACCCUGGUAGUCCACGCCGU